rnacentral:rRNA from 1 species
CGCUGAAGAGAGGAGCUUGCUCUUCUUGGAUGAGUUGCGAACGGGUGAGUAACGCGUAGGUAACCUGCCUUGUAGCGGGGGAUAACUAUUGGAAACGAUAGCUAAUACCGCAUAACAAUGGAUGACACAUGUCAUUUAUUUGAAAGGGGCAAUUGUUCCACUACAAGAUGGACCUGCGUUGUAUUAGCUAGUAGGUGAGGUAAUGGCUCACCUAGGCGACGAUACAUAGCCGACCUGAGAGGGUGAUCGGCCACACUGGGACUGAGACACGGCCCAGACUCCUACAGGAGGCAGCAGUAGGGAAUCUUCGGCAAUGGGGGCAACCCUGACCGAGCAACGCCGCGUGAGUGAAGAAGGUUUUCGGAUCGUAAAGCUCUGUUGUAAGUCAAGAACGGGUGUGAGAGUGGAAAGUUCACACUGUGACGGUAGCUUACCAGAAAGGGACGGCUAACUACGUGCCAGCAGCCGCGGUAAUACGUAGGUCCCGAGCGUUGUCCGGAUUUAUUGGGCGUAAAGCGAGCGCAGGCGGUUUGAUAAGUCUGAAGUUAAAGGCUGUGGCUCAACCAUAGUUCGCUUUGGAAACUGUCAAACUUGAGUGCAGAAGGGGAGAGUGGAAUUCCAUGUGUAGCGGUGAAAUGCGUAGAUAUAUGGAGGAACACCGGUGGCGAAAGCGGCUCUCUGGUCUGUAACUGACGCUGAGGCUCGAAAGCGUGGGGAGCGAACAGGAUUAGAUACCCUGGUAGUCCACGCCGUAAACGAUGAGUGCUAGGUGUUGGAUCCUUUCCGGGAUUCAGUGCCGCAGCUAACGCAUUAAGCACUCCGCCUGGGGAGUACGACCGCAAGGUUGAAACUCAAAGGAAUUGACAGGGGCCCGCACAAGCGGUGGAGCAUGUGGUUUAAUUCGAAGCAACGCGAAGAACCUUACCAGGUCUUGACAUCCCGAUGCUAUUUCUAGAGAUAGAAAGUUACUUCGGUACAUCGGUGACAGGUGGUGCAUGGUUGUCGUCAGCUCGUGUCGUGAGAUGUUGGGUUAAGUCCCGCAACGAGCGCAACCCCUAUUGUUAGUUGCCAUCAUUCAGUUGGGCACUCUAGCGAGACUGCCGGUAAUAAACCGGAGGAAGGUGGGGAUGACGUCAAAUCAUCAUGCCCCUUAUGACCUGGGCUACACACGUGCUACAAUGGUUGGUACAACGAGUUGCGAGUCGGUGACGGCGAGCUAAUCUCUUAAAGCCAAUCUCAGUUCGGAUUGUAGGCUGCAACUCGCCUACAUGAAGUCGGAAUCGCUAGUAAUCGCGGAUCAGCACGCCGCGGUGAAUACGUUCCCGGGCCCUGUACACACCGCCCGUCACACCACGAGAGUUUGCAACACCCGAAGUCGGUGAGGUAACCUUUGGAGCCAGCC